rnacentral:rRNA from 1 species
AACGAACGCUGGCGGCGUGUUUAAGACAUGCAAGUCGCACGGUGUCAUUUUGGUAGCAAUACUUGGAUGGCACAGUGGCGCACGGGUGAGUAACACGUGAAUGACAUGCCCUGCAGAGGGGGAUAGCCCAGGGAAACUUGGAUUAAUACCCCAUGGCCUCUUGCCCUCAGAAGCGAGAUUAAAGGGUGGCCGCAAGGCUGCCGCUGCAGGAUUGGUUCGCGUUCUAUCAGCUUGUUGGCGGGGUAACGGCCCACCAAGGCUACGACGGAUACCUGGUCUGAGAGGACGAUCAGGCACACUGGAACUGAGACACGGUCCAGACACCUACGGGUGGCAGCAGUCGAGAAUAAUUCACAAUGGGGGCAACCCUGAUGGUGCAACGCCGCGUGGAGGAUGAAGGUCUUCGGAUUGUAAACUCCUGUCAUCCGGGAGCAAGACCUGACGGUGAAUAGCCGGCAGGGUUGAUAGUACCGGAAGAGGAAGGGACGGCUAACUUCGUGCCAGCCGCCGCAGUAACAC